CGGGGAGACGCGAGGGAGGGGCGAAGUCCCGGCGGCGGGAGGAGAAAGUUGGUCGGCGGCGGAGGUCGGGGACCCCCCCCCUUCCCCGGCACAGCCCCCUCCCCGCAGCCCGGCUACUCACCAGCGAAAAGAGAGGAGAAAACUAAAGCACAAAGGGAUUAAAUCACUUGCCCGAGGUCGCACACUUGGGAAGAGGAGUCCAGAUUCGAACCCGCGCACAGUGAAGCCAAGCUCUUGGACAAGGUUUCACAGGCUUCGCCCAGGGAUAUUCACGGCUGCCAUAGACGGAGCGCUUACUGUGUUCCAGACACUGCACUGUGCUAAGGCCGUGUUGGGAGCAGACCCUUCUUCCUGGCGUCAUUCAUUGGAUAACCAACAUUUCCUGAGUGUAUAUGGCCUGGGAGUCCGGAGGAGUGCUGCUAUGAAGAGAAGCUCUCCCAGUCCUCAAGAAAUGGAUCCCCGAAAAGGGGGAGGAGAAAACAAUGUCUUCACUAAUACGCCUCCAAACAUGGAACAAUCAGCUGUUUCAGGUAGAUUAAGCUAAAAGAGGAAGAGUGGAUGGCUGGCACAGUGGCUCACGCCGGUAAUCCUAGCCGAGGUUUAAGACCAGCCUGAGCAAUGUAGCAAGAACCCCCGUCAUGACAAAAAAAAUAAAAUACAAAAAUACAAAAAUUAGCCAGGCGUAGUGUGGCAUGUGCCUGUAGCCCUAGCUACUCGAAAGGCUGAGGUGGGAGGAUAACUUGAGCCCUGGAGGCAGAGGCUGCAGUGAGCCCAGUGAGCCGAGGUCGCAUCACCGUACUCCAGCCUGAGUGACAGAGAGAGGCCCUGUCUCAAAAAAAAAAAAAAAAAAAAAAAGGAAGAGUAGAAAGCAGGGAAGAGAUGAGAGUGUAUAAUAAGAGAAGUCUUAAGACACGUGAACUGAGUUUUGGAACUACCACAAAUACUGCUAAAGCAAAACUCAUGAGCAACAUGUUAUAAUGUGUAUUAUCAUGCAACAUAUUGUUACAAUGAAUGUCGUUACCUACAUUAUUUCACAUAAUCCGCAGAACAACCACCUAAAGUAGAUACUGUUAUUAUUCUUAGGCUGUAAUUAGGUAAAACUCAGAGGUGUGCAGUGACAUCUCCAAUCUCUCAGUUAGUACAUGGCUCAAACUCAGGUCCUUCUGACUCCAGAGCCCGAGCAUGAAUUCAGGAGGCUCCUUAGAAAGAUGCCU
rnacentral:lncRNA from 10 species